rnacentral:sRNA from 1 species
GAUGCAAUCCACGACGAAACGAAUUCCGGCGGUGCUCAGGUUGGAGGAGAGUCCUUGGAUCGGAGGGGAUGGUCUGGGGCGUCGACUGGAAAUAGAACCACAUUGACAGCAUCAGUGCACAAUAAUCUGAUGAAUGGACGGAUGUCAUCGUCUAGUCACAAUCUUUCGACUAGGCUGUCCGGAUCUACACAGAAUUUAAACCAACCUACAAAUGCAUAUGGGGUGAGUGAAAACUUUCAAGUUAUAUGUAAACUGGUUGUUUUCAAAACAAUAUUUAAAGAUCAGUGACAACUGAUUUUUUAAAGAGGUUGAGAUUUUGAUGAGAUGCAUUAUAAUUACAAAAAUUGUUGUAUUUUGUUUGUAACUGACUUUUAAAUUUGUCGCAACUCUGGUUGUCUAUUGAAGGAAAUUCUUAGUAUUUUACAGUUUCAAAUUGUUGAAUAGUUUCCAAUCAGCUUCAAAAUUUUCAAUGAACAAAUAUCACAAUACCACCUAAUAUUUCAUAAUGAUGUGGUAAGAAAAUACAAGAACGAAUUUUCAAAAAUAACAUUUUUAGCCAAAGACAGUUUUGUUUAUUUAGCAUUACUCAAAUACUAUGCUUGGUUAGUUUGUAUUAAAUAUAACCAAUCAAAUUCAACAAGAUGUUUGUUCUACUUUAAAAAAUAAUACUUAGUUAGUCAGUACUUAGACAGCAUAUGAAAUCAAUCAAGAGUAGGUGUCAAUCAUAAAUUUCAUAAAGUUUUAAUCAAAUUUUGAAAAAUCAACUCACUUGAAUGCUCGAUUAAACUGUAGAAAAACGAGAAUUUUUUCAGUUAUUUUUUAUUUUACCAAAAUUUUACCAAAACCGUACUUUCAGUAACGAAAAUACGAAAAGAAAGCAAAAACGUAUUUAGGUAUUAUUUGAAAAAGCACAUUCACGCACAUUAAUAUUUUUUGAAUGGUGGGAGUGUAUGUGGUGACUCACACAAUUGCAAACCACUAACAGUGCCACAAAUGGAAAAAUACAACUGAUAACUGUUUUCUUAUGACAAAGCGGCUCGCAUACCCGACGAAAUGAGAAUGUUCGACGUGACUCAGUUCUCGGCGAACGAUGUCUAUAUUAUUAUUAAUUCCAUGUGGCAAUUACAGUUCCCCAUCGUGCCACCGGCAAAUAACCCAUCGGAUUCGUCUGCGUCAGGUCGUAUUGCAGUGAGUUUUGAAUGGUUUUGUCUAAUACCGAACUGGUUUCAAAAUUGUGAUCAAAAGAAAAUUCAAAGAGAUCAUACGAUGAUCGUGCAAAAUUAGUUUAGGUUUCAGUCUAGGAAAUAUAUUAUUGUUUAAGAAACCUAGAAUGGAUAUGAAUUGUAUUGAAAUUGAAAUUGUUGGUACUUUCUCUUCGGAUUAUGUUUUCUUUUUUAGAUUGGGAGACAAUGAUUCCUGAGCCAAAAAAAUAAUAACUUUUUCAUUUUCAACAAUUUUUGGGUACAGCUUCUACUCAAAAACCGAACAGUGAAUAAUAAUUUUGUGUCUUCUUUAAAUUCUCACUUGAAUUCUUGAGCGAAUCAGGAAAACUCAUAAAGACAUAUUUUCAGAAUCUCUUAUCACGACCGUUCCGUUCAAACCCACUAAAAAGAACAAAGAGUGUGAGCAAAAUGGAAAAAUCGCUGGCAGAAGCAAAUCAACA